rnacentral:ncRNA from 1 species
UACAUGAUCCGUGCUUGAGGUUGCUAUUUUUUGAAAGACGAACAAUAAUAGUACGCGAAUACGCGGGAGUAAAUGCUUUUCUC